UACGAAGGGGGCUAGCGUUGCUCGGAAUCACUGGGCGUAAAGGGCGCGUAGGCGGCCAAGUAAGUUGGGGGUGAAAGCCCGUGGCUCAACCACGGAAUUGCCUUCGAUACUGCUUGGCUUGAGACCGGAAGAGGUGAGUGGAACUGCGAGUGUAGAGGUGAAAUUCGUAGAUAUUAGGAAGAACACCAGUGGCGAAGGCGGCUCACUGGUCCGGUACUGACGCUGAGGUGCGAAAGCGUGGGGAGCAAACAGG
rnacentral:rRNA from 1 species